rnacentral:lncRNA from 1 species
CUACUUUUAUGUGAGUCUGAAAACUUUCAAAAUAUAUAAUUGGGGAAGAAAAUAGAAUGUCAAGAAUUGUAUGCAUUAGCCAGAACACUUUCAGUUCUGAGUAGCAGAAACUUAAGUAGGCUUAUGCAAAAAGGGGAAUUCACGAAGGUGCUCACACGGUGUCAUACGUCUCUUUCCUUCAAGUGGCUUUGCUUUCUUCUAGGUUAGGCUCAUCACCUCAUGGUGUCAAGAUGGCAAGCAGCUCUUGGCUUACAUUCUACCAACUAGAUACCACCGUAGAAAAAGAAGGUUUCUUCUCCAAUAGUUCUGCCUAGACCCAAAAAAGUUGGAGUGGAUACUUAAAGCCAAAGACUCCUUCCUCCCAGCAAGCACGAUGAAAGGUGAUGCCUGGAACUGCUGCAACCCCUGGGGGCCACGAGAGGAGACACUGGCAACAUACCAGGAGUGUUGGGCUGCUGAACUGGAAAGCAGGAAGGCACCUGGGUCCUUGAUGCCAUCCUAGUGCCACUGCAUUAAGCAAACCUGGGACUGCCCUCUCUUUGGAGUUCUAGUUACAUGAGAUAAUAAGCCUGUUAUUGCUUAAACCACUUUAAGGAAGGCAGGUCUGCUGCUGCUUGUGGGCAAAGGCAUUCUAACAGAGAUACUCUUUAGAGGAUCACCCAGGUGUGUGACCAGCCAGUCAGGGACAGAGGCCCGGAACUUGGUAAAGAAACCACAGGACCAUGCACAUAAGUUGUCCCAGCCACUUCAGAUCAGUUGCUGGUUUAAAAAAUCAUUGAAAACUAUAAUUUUCAGUCUUCUGCAUCCAUUUAUUCACUCAUUCAAUGAAUAUUCAGUUAGCUCUUACCAUAGUCUUGCAGUGAAGGACACAAAGAAAGAGAGCAUCUAGCAGUGACUUAGUACUUUAG